rnacentral:lncRNA from 1 species
CCACAGCAACUCUGUCUCAAAGUUUGUUUCUUGGGGAGCCUGAUUUACCGCAGAUUCAUCAGGACUCGCUGGAGUGAAAAGAGCUGGACAUCUGCCACAGCAACUCUCCAGAAAAUGGAAACAGUGUCAUUAAGAAUCCUUAGAACUCCCUGGAUAGGACAAAAGCUCAAUUCCCAGAGGCGAGAAGCCCCACAGGGUUCACCAGCAAUGUCACCUCCAGGCCAACAUGGAAAUCCCCACAGCAGAGGGAAAGCCUGGCAGAAGUCAGGCACAGUAUCCGUGGGCCAUGGAGUGGAGUAGGAGUGCCAGCCACUCCCAACAGUCACCUCAGGUGUGUGGAAGAGCAGAGAUAGAGUUGUGUAGAAACCUGACUGGUUUGAACAGAACUGUCAUACUCGUUUUGUC